UUCCGUUCCCAUGGCAACGGUAUUGUCUCCUUGGCCGGACCUGGGUUGCGGAAGGUAACUGGGGACCUCGCAGGCUGUGCAGCUUUCGCGAGGCACCGCUUUGGCGCCCGGACCGAGGGAGAAGAUGCAAGCCAGCCCCAUCCGUAUCCCAACUGUUAGCAAUGACAUCGACUGGGAUUUCUGCUUCCGUAUGUCACAGAAAACCGAGAUCCCAGCUCACCAGCAAACAGAUGAGUUGUAUCCCACUGGUGGGUGUGGAGAGAGUGAAGAGGAAACUAAAGCUAAAGAGAAGGAGAAGGCCAUAGACUGUAUGUCUCAUCCCAAAGAGAAAUUAGCCCAAUCCCAGAAGAAAGUAGCUCAGCUGAUUAAGGAAAAAAUGAAUACUCAAGCAAACAAGGAGCUGAUUCGAUGUGUCAUCCUUUCUCGGAUUAUUUUUGGGGACCAUCACUGGAAAUGUGCACGAGCUCUGGCCAACCUAGCUUAUGGCUACUUGACACUGAGAGGCCUCCCAGUUCAGGCCAAGAAACAUGCUACAUCAGCCAAGAAUACACUGUUGACCUGGAAGGCAAAUACGACCUCAGAUAAGGAGAAAGAGGAAAUCCUGGAAGCUCUGGUCAAGCUGUACUACACUCUGGGCGUGGCCUGGCUCCUGCAGAACCGUGGCAGAGAAGCCUAUUUCAACCUGCAGAAGGCAGAGAGAAACAUGAAGGAGCUGAAAGAAUUAUAUAAAGGAGGUGUUUGUGAAUUACAAGUCUCUGAGAAUGACCUAACACUUGCUUUGGGCAGAGCCUCCUUGGCCAUCCACAGACUGAACCUAGCUCUGGCAUACUUUGAAAAGGCAAUUGGCGAUGUUAUUGCUGCCAAGGGUGAUAGGACGUCAGAUCUGAUCAGCCUGUACGAGGAAGCUGCUCAGAUAGAGCAGCUGAGGAGGAACCACAACCAGGCCAUCCAGUACUUGCAGCAGGCUCAUUCUGUCUGUGUUUCUUUGUUCACUGAAGUCAGCCCCAAAACUGCAGAAAUGAGUGCGUUACUGGCCAAAGCUUAUGCCAUGUCUGGAGAGGCCCAGCACAGGGAUGCUGUUGAGAUAUAUUUCAUAAAAAGUAUCAAUGCAUAUCGAGCAACAUUGGGCUCAGAGGAUUUUGAAACACUGAGCACCACUGAAGAAUUUUGCAAAUGGCUUGUCCAAAAUGGAGAAAAACAGGACAAGUAGCAGUUCAUCCAGAUGGAGAAGAGAAGCCAUUCCUGGAAGAAGGAACUCUACAUACAAAGGCACAGAAGCAUGACAGAGGGCAGUGUAUGGAGGAAUGGUCUUCUGUUAUCAAAUUGAAAACCUCUAUACAGGAUAGCCAACAAUAAAGACAACCUUGUUGAUGAUAAAAUUUCUCGACCACAAAAUGUUUCUCAACACUGAUAGCAGUGGCAGAUCUAAAACAACGGUUUUUUAUUAAGGACUCUGGGGAAAAAAGGUCCACUUAGCAGCAGCAUCCCAGGUGAAAUACCCAAGAGCCAUUAGAAACUAGGAUCCUGGCUGGGCGCGGUGGCUCACGCCUAUAAUCCCAGCACUUUGGGAGGCCAAGGCAGGCCAAUCAUGAAGUCAGGAGAUUGAGACCAUCCUAGUCAACACGGUGAAACCCCAUCUCUACUAAAAAUACAAAAAAAAUUAGCUGGGCGUGGUGACACAUGCCUGUAAACCUAGCUACUUGGGAGGCUGAGGCAGAAGAAUCACUUGAACAGGGGAGUCGGAGGUUGCAGUGAACUGGGAUCGUACCACUGCACUCCAGCCUGGCGACAGAGAGACUCUGUCUCAAAAAAAACCAACAAAAAACAAACAAACCCAACUAGGAUCCUGAUCUAUGACUUAGGGGAAAGAAAUCUUUUAGUCACAUGCUUUAAGUUAGUUUUUUGUGUCACUGGAACUCCAUUACCUUCCAUUUCCCUUUUUCUAACUCUAUUCCUUUCAGUUCUGACUUUUUAAAAAAUUCUGCGAUACCUAAGGAGUUUAUUGGUGAACACUUUCAUGUACUACAGUUGACCAGUGAACAAUGCAGGGGCUAGGGCUGCCAAUGCCUUGUGCAGUCAAAAAUCUUUGUAUAACUUUGGAUUCCCCCAAAACUCAACUGCUAAUAGCCUACUGUUAACUGGGAGCCUUACUGAUAAGAUAAACAGUUGAUUAACACAUGUUUUGUAUGUUAUAUGUAUAGUAUAUAAUAUAUUCUUACAAUAAGUAAACUAGAGAAAGGCAAAGGUUAUUAAGAAAAUGAUAAGGGGCCAAGUGUGGUGGCUCAUUGCCUGUAAUCCUAGCACUCUGGGAGGCAGAGGAAGGCAGAUUGCUUGAGCCCAGGAGGUCGAGGCUGCAGUGAGCCGAGAUUGUGCCACUGCACUCCAGCCUGGAUGAGAAAGUGAGACCCUGUUCAAAAAAAAAAAAACAAAGAAAAUAAGGAAAUACAUUUACAUUACUAUACUGUAUUUAUUGAUUCCGUUAAGUUUACAUUGUCUAUUUACAAAAAGAAUCCUGGGACUGAAAUGAAGGGCAUCCACAGCCACAGACCUCAAUCUUUGAUACAUAUCAAGCAAUUCAGCUUUUUCUUGUAAUGUCAUGACUACUCCUUCUUGAGAACACUUCCAGCAUCACUAGUGGCACUUCAUAUGGGUCCCAUGGUAUUAUAUGAGGUUUAUGGUGCACUAAACAUGAUGAAAAAUACUUAAGAAUCUCGAAAGAGUACUUUUUUCUGCCACAUGAAAUUUACUGAAGAGUUGAACUGCUCAUGCAGAGAUGAUUAGCAUCACACAGCGUUUUGAGUGGAUAUUCACAACAUCUGAGCGCACUGCCGCAGCAAUAGGAGGCAGCUACAAAAUGAUUGCAGUACAGUAUGUACUCCAGUUGGUUUUAUGUGGCUAUGAUUUAACCUUGCAUCUUUACGUUUGUUUACAUUUCUCUGGACUGUGAAUGGCACCAUGUACUGUAUAUGUGUGUAAAUUUUGAGAAAAUUUAGCUUUUUAUAAUAGAUUUGUGCAUAUUUUGUAGUAGCAAAUGAUAAAAUAGACUAGUAUAUACAUAUAUUUUAUGCAUUCAUGACAUACCUUUUAAAAUGUUUAAAAAUAUUUCUAGGCAACGCAGUUUGUGUUUUUUCAAAUUGUCAAAAAACUCCAAAAAAAAAAAACUUCCAAUGUAUUUAUUGAAAAAAAUCUGUGUACAAGUGGAUUUACACAGUUCAAACCCAUGUUGUUCAAGGGUCAACUGUAUUUGGAGGUGUUUUUAGUCACAGCCUGUUUGAGGUCACCAAAACUGCCUUGGGAGGAAUAGUUUGAACCUUCUGAAACACUUACCCUGAUCUGAUUUACUGAACUCAUCAUAACAUGUUCAAAGUCAGAAAGGACCUUUUUAUUUUAUAAAGAAACUGGGGACGGCCGGGCAUGGUGGCUCAAGCCUGUAAUCCCAGCACUUUGGGAGGCCGAGGCAGGCGGAUCAUCUGAGGUCAGGAGUUCGAGACCAGCCUGACCAACAUGGAGAAACCCUGUCUCUACUAAAAAUACAGAAAUAGCUGGGUGUGGUGGCGCAUACCUGUAAUCCCAGCUACUCGGGAGGCUGGGGCAGGAGAAUUGCUUGAACCUGGGAGGUGGAGGUUGUGGUGAGCUGAGAUCAUGCAAUUGCACUCCAGCUUCGGCAACAAGAGCAAAACUCCAUCUCAAAAACAAAAACAAAAACAAAACAACAACAAAAGAAACUAGGGACAAGAGAGUGAUUUGUUCAAGGUCAGCUUGGUAAUUAUAAAGCAGACUUCCUGGAUCACAGAUGAUUACUCUUUCCAUCCCACUCUGCUGCCUCCACCAAACUGGAUUAAAAAGGCUUGUUUUAGGAAAAGAA